GUUGUGAUACUACAUGCUGGGGUUUUAAGAGAGGAGCUUUCCAUAGUGAUCACAUCUAUGGCCGUGACCUUACAUUAUUCUUUCUUAUCU